rnacentral:rRNA from 1 species
AGAGUUUGAUCCUGGCUCAGGAUUAACGCUGGCGGCAUGCCUAAUACAUGCAAGUCGAACGAAAAAUAUAGAAGUGCUUGCACAUUUAUAUUUUUAGUGGCGAACGGGUGAGUAAUAUAUAGAUAACCUGCCUUAAAGUUGGGGAUAACAGAGGGAAACCUCUGCUAAUACCGAAUACGAUAACUAGACGCAUGUUUAGUUAUUAAAAGGGGCUCCAAAGCCCCGCUCUAAGAGGGGUCUAUAUCGCAUUAGCUAGUUGGUAAGAUAACAGCCUACCAAGGCGAUGAUGCGUAGCUGUACUGAGAGGUAGAACAACCACAUUGGGACUGAGAUACGGCCCAAACUCCUACGGGAGGCAGCAGUAGGGAAUUUUCGGCAAUGGGGGGAACCCUGACCGAGCAAUGCCGCGUGAUUGAAGAAGAUCUUCGGAUCGUAAAGAUCUGUUAUUAGGGAAGAAUGGAAUUGAUAGGAAAUGAUCAAUUUAUGACGGUGCCUAAUGAGGAAGCCCCGGCUAACUAUGUGCCAGCAGCCGCGGUAAUACAUAGGGGGCGAGCGUUAUCCGGAAUUAUUGGGCGUAAAGGGUACGUAGGCGGGCCUGCAAGUCUGAUUUGAAAGCACACGGCUUAACCGUGUGAGGUAAUUAGAAACUACAGGUCUAGAGAGUGGUAGAGGUAAAUGGAAUUCCAAGUGGAGCGGUGAAAUGCGUAGAGAUUUGGAGGAACACCAGUGGCGAAGGCGGUUUACUGGGCCACAUCUGACGCUGAUGUACGAAAGCGUGGGGAGCAAACAGGAUUAGAUACCCUGGUAGUCCACGCCGUAAACGAUGAGAGAUAAGUAUCGGUAGAUUCGGUGCUUAAGAUAACGCAGUAAGCACUCCGCCUGGGGAGUACGGUCGCAAGACUGAAACUCAAAGGAAUUGACGGGGACUCGCACAAGCGGUGGAGCAUGCGGUUUAAUUCGAUGCAACGCGAAGAACCUUACCAGGUCUUGACAGUGUAAAGAAUACUUAAGAGAUUA